rnacentral:misc_RNA from 1 species
ACAAAAAUGGAUUCAGGAAGGUUUACUUACUAAAUCACUUUUUCAAUAGUAUGCUCCAAGUUCGUUUAAAUAAUAAAGAUCUGGUUUUAGGUUAUAUUUCAGGAAAGAUCCAACGUAGUUUUGUUUUAUACGUAUACUACCAGGAGAUAGUGUCAAAAAUGAAGUAAGUACUUAUAAUUCGACCAGAGCACGUCUAAUUUAUAGACUCCGAAACAAAAAAUUGAAUGAUUAGGCAGUUUCUUUUAAUUUUGAAAUCUUGAAUU